ensembl:lncRNA
UUCCGUAAUUGUAGUAACUCCUUAUUGCAAGUUAAUAUGAACAUUAAAAACCAGCCAAAGUGUGGCCGAGUUCUAGUUCUAUUCACUUGAUUUAGGCCUUUAACCACCUUAUUGAUUUACAGCACACUUUACACUCGCUUGCAGCGUCUCUCGUCUAUGCAAGAUGCUCAAUUAAAACCCAAAGAUGGCUCAAUAAGCCUUGAAACAAGUCCCCUCAGUUUUCACAGACUUAGGUUGAAUAGAAGAUCUUGGCUUCUUUAUUCAAUCCAUAUUUCAAAAGAGAUUGAAUUAGACGUGGAGUGGAUGGAAUUUGUUCUUCAUGGAAACAGCCUCUCUCUUUCAAUUACACAUCCCCUCUUCACUCCUCUUGGAAAGACACACACGCACGCACGCACGCACACACACACACACACACACGCACACACACACACACACACACACAUACAUACACUGUCUCUGGUGUUUGCUAUUUGCUAUUUGGUAUUUGCUAUUUCCUGCCAGCAAACCGCUGGCAGCCUGACCCUUACAUGGCUCUGGGUUUUAUGGUGCAGCAUAUGUUGAGGCUUGUUCGCUGGCAAAAGUGUGGUUAAGGCAGUUUUGCCUCUUUGAUUUACACGCUAUAGUCACGAAAGCAUGGUUGCUUUAUCCUGUAAUUUGAAGUUUGAGACCUGUGUUUAAACGCGAUAAGGUGUGCUGUGUGCGUCCAUGUCAGGAAUUCGCAGCAUUGAUGCUUGUUUUAUUGUAAUCAGUGGUGAAAGUGGGCAAACCAUGUUUAAGAAGCAAUCAGAUUCCUUGUGUGUUUAUUUAAAUAGAGUUUGGUGUGUGUGUGUGUGUGUGUUUCCAUUUGAAAAGUUGGCAUAGUUUGAGCAGAAUAGGUGGCUGUAGUGUGACUACGGGUCCCUGCAGCGAGGAUUUACUGUGUGUGUGUGUGUGUGUGUGUGUGUGUGUGUGUGUGUGUGUGUGUGUGUGUGUGUGUGUGUGUGUGUGUGUGCAGCUAUGUAACGAAGAUAUAAAAACAAUAUGUCAAUUGAUACUAACCCAGUCUGUUACACCGGUUUAACCUGUUACUGUGAAUACAUCAUGUUUGGUCUAUGUGCCUGUAUAUCUGGGUAUACCAGUAAUAUGUCAUGAUUGGCUUCAGCAAAAGCCUGUCUAUCCUCUGAAGAAAUAUGAAUUGCACUUUAAGACUCCUAGCAGCCUUACAUACAGCAGAACAUGAGAGAUGUUUUGCUUAUUUUGUCAUCUUAGUGGUCCAGCACAUUUCACAUUAGUUGUGUUUGCUCAGUAGUGGCUGCCCAAGGGUGAGAUAAGACAUCAUAGAUAAGUUUUUCCUACCAGAUCGAAGAGCAGAGGCACUUUAUGACUAAGAGAUUUCCUCCAUGUGGAGAUGGGAGCACUUUUUCAAUGUGAGGAUUUAUAGUGGGAAAUUGGUUCAGGGAGAAAAUCAUACACCAAAUAAUAUAGUGAAGGAUUGUUCUGGAAAUACUGUAUUUGUCUCUUUACCUACACAAUGUGUUUUUUUUUUUUUUUUAAAUUAUUAUUAUUACUUAUACACAUUUAUUAAAAUGACAUACAAGUGGAACAAAAUACAAUCCAGGUAAUCCUGGGAUUUGAAUUUACAACGUUCCAGUUAGUUGCACUAAACCUUAGCCAUAAAUCCAACACUAGCACGUUAAUUAAAUCUUAAGUCACAGGCUGGUUCUUAUUAUACCACAGUGCUACUGAAUUCUUGAAUCUAAUUGGUCAGUGGAUGCUGAUUAACUUUUUUUAACAACACAGCUGCAAGGCAAAUCACAGGUUUAUAUUAAUGCACUCGUUCUAAUACCUACAACUUGUUCACAGGGACUUGUAUGUACAUAAUUUAAGUGCAACUUUAAACAGAUAAAAACAACAACAAAUUUUAUUUAACAACAAAUGUAAGGUGAAGCUUGCUGUAAUUAAAUGUUUGUUUUACAUUGUUUAAAGUAGAGUUCUGUUCUGCCAGUCUCCACGCUUUGAGAUAAAACUGUUCCUGAAGAUUUCUUGGUGGUUUAUCAGUUAUGUACCAUGCUGCAUUUUCCCCUCUUGUAAUUAACAUUAGGUUAAAGAGAAAACAGAGAAGCUUGUGAGGCAUCAACUGUUUAUAGCUGCUACAAUGCAAGUGAUAACAAAAGCUAUCUUCUUUUGUGGAAGUUUCAUAUUAAACAUUAAACAUUGAAUGCAGCUAUAAAUGGAUAAAAGUAUGACGUGUCAUUCUUUAUGAAAUUAAAAGUUUGUAAUCUUGACAAAUUUGCUGUAGCAUAAGAAGAGUAAAACACUACAGGAUGUGCAUUUAGUGGAAAAUAUCCAACCCUUGUGUGGUAUCACACCACCACCUUGUUGAAUGUUUUCCUAUAACAGCACACCCCAAAGUACUUUAUUCUUUACAUAUUCUGCCCACUCAAUAUUGCAUUAUGCUUGCAUACCAUUUACCAGGAGGCUGCAUGGAACACAGCUUGGACAGCAUUUGGGGUGUCCAAUUUGGAAGACAGCAUAAGGACAGCAGUUGUAUUUAUUUUGUACUAAUGUACGAUUAGAUAUUCUGCUCAGUAAAAACCAGUAGAGCUGAACAUGUAGUUAUUUAAAAUAAAAAAAUUAUAUUGUGAUAUCAUAAACUGUUUCACUGUAUUUACUGCAACAGCUGUUACUAAAUAAUGCACUUUAAUCUGAAGAAUUCGUUCAUUCAUUUUCAGCAGCCAUUUUAUUCUGAUCAGGUUCAGGGUGAAUCCAGAGUCAAUCCGGGUAACAUAUGCUUAUCUGCAUGUUUUUUUUGGACGUUGAGAGGAAACUGCAGAACCUGGAGGAAACCCACAUAAACAUGGGGACCAUGUAUAGUAUGCAACAGACAGUAAACAGAGCUAUGUGGUACACUUUUGUGAAGGACAAAUGACGUUUGAUAAAUGAAAAAUUAGAGCCACAGUUUGGCUGGAAAAACAAAACACAAUAUUCCCCCUUACUUCAUGUGUAAUUGAUGCUGAAAUAGUGGCCAAGCUCCCAGGUGAAACUCUGAUCACGUUGUAUCAGAAGCUUACAAAACAGUUAAAAACUUGCAAUUUAGAAUAUACACUUGCAAAUUAGAAUACAGCCCUGAUUACAAAAACAACAAUGAAUCCAAAUAUCUAAUAAUAUCACCUCUGCUGAUGAAAAUAUAAUGAAUUAUGAACAUCAUGGUGUAUCAUAAAACUAAUUAUCAGCACAUGUCUAGCUGGGACACAGAGCUGAGACCAGAUGCACAUUAUGUUAAAUCAAGUAGAGCAAUUAGCAUGACGUACAUCUGUGAUAUGGAGCAACAUGAUUUAAUAAACAUCAGUCUUACGCUCCUUAUCGCUCCAUAUGGUCAGCUGGGAAGAUAUGUUACAUUUUGUGAGCACUCAAGGUUCAGAAGUAGCUACUUUUCAAGAAAUAUGAUCUGAUCUGAGUGCAUGUUGCUGGCGGCACCUCGUUUGAGAGAUUAUAAAAGACCAAAACUGUUUGCUCUAUGGGCUUGUGGUGGAGUGGAGGGUUAAUAACAGGGGCUGAGCUGCAAGAGGACAAAGGAGGCCUAAUGAAAGAUAAAACUAUCUGCUAGAUACACCGCCAAACUCUCUUGUCUCGCGUACCAAGGGAAUGUUAUAAAAAAGUGUAAUUUGGUAGGCGGUCCUAACUCUCCAAAUUAGUAAUUACGACCUCAUUUGUUGGAAUGAAAGAAAACAUCUUUUCCUUUCAACGUAUGUAACUCCAGGCUGUCUGAAAUUAUUUUCAAGCUUUUGAUAUGAUGUGUAUUCAUGGUGUCACAGUGAUUUUUCCCACUGACACUAUACAUACUGGUACAGACAAGCAACUAACACAUUACUACACUAACAGUAAACACUUAAUGUGACAAAACAAAUACAGUGUCCUCCAUUAAUAUUGGCACCCUUGGUAAAUUUGAGCAAAGAAGGCUGUGGAAAUUUGUCUUUAUUGUUUAACCUUUUGAUCUUUUGUUCAAAACAUUUACAAAAAUACUCUGCUCUCAUGGAUAUAAAACAAUUGCAAACAAAACACAGGUUUAUAUAUAAAAAAAUGUUGUUAAAUAUAGGUGUGCAACAAUUAUUGGCACCCCUAUGAAUUCAUAUGAGACAAAUAUAUUUGAAGUAUAUAUAUUAAGCAUCAAAAUAACUAGCAGCUUACUGGUAUUUUCCAAGGCUAGUGUAUCACUGUGGUCAGUAUUAUAAAAGUACUGAUGAUAAACAUGAGAAAAAUACUGAUAUCUAAUUGGCCUCCCAUGUAUGAUGAAAUACAUAAACUCUCUGGCAGCUUUAACAGGCACACCUAUUUAACUGCUCAUUCAUGCAAUUUAUCAAUGAGCAGCGCAAUGCAUAAAUGCAGAUAUAGGUCAAGAGCUUCAAUGGCUUUGACCGUGGCUUGGUUGUUGGUGCCAGAUGGGCUGGUUUGAUUACUUCAGAAACUGUUGACCAGCUGGGAUUGUAAGGUCCAACAAUCUUUAAAGAAUGGUGCAUAAAAAAAAGCAAAAUAAAUAAAUAAAUAAAUAAAUCUUCCAGUAAGCAUCAAUUCAGUGGGUGGAAAGCACUGAUAAUAGAGGUCAGAGGAGAAUGGCCAGACUAGUUUGAGCCUACAGGAAGGCUACAGUAACUCAGAUAACAACUGUUUACCACCACGGUGAACAGAAAAGCAUCUCAGACUGCAAAACUCAUCAAAUCAUAGGACAGAUGGGCUUGGUUUGGCUUUAGAAAAUGCUGCUCUGUCCACUGGAGAAAAAUGAAUGAAACUUUAAGAGACUUAACAGUUAUUUAACUGCUUUAAAUUUUCCAGAGGAAAAUUAGAGAAAUGUUUAAAUUAUUUGGCUUACAAUUAGCUAGUGAGUUAGCCGACUAUCUAGCUUAGUGAAUGAUAAUUCAUGCCCUUCAGAAAUAAAUAACCUGAGCUAGUAAAGCUGGGUAAAUUGUUUCAUUUGGUAAGGCAUCUUCCAGCUUCUUUAUUAAUUGACAAAACUGAUCAAUAUAUGUUUGAGAAUUCAAAUUACCAUUAUAUUUUAUUAAACUGCUACAAUGUCACAGUAGUGGAUAACAGCUGACUAAGAUGGCCUACCAGCUUGGCCAGGUAGCUGGAGCAGGUUGGUGGAGUGACAAUGACAGAUUUUUCAGCAGAGGCAAUGCUAACAUUGAUUGCAUUUACAUGGACAGAAAUAAUCCAAUCUUAUUCUGAGUAAAAAAAAUAAUGUGAUUGUCACGAUUCCCCCUUGAAGCAGUGUGCUCUAAGCGCAAAUGCGCGAGCACCUGCUUUUCCGCUGUUGACCGUAGUGACAUUGGGACACGUGUGUUUUGUUUAUGUUUGUCAUGUCUCCUCCCUGGGGCGAAAUCCCCGAGAUGUAUGACCGAGGGCUGCGGGAGAGAGACUCAGCUUCAAUGUCCCACUUGCAGGAAGCUGGGCCUCCAGGAAGCUUUCUUCUGCUCUCAGGAAUGCUUCAAGAGCAGCUGGCGGGAGCAUAAGAAACUCCACCGGAGAGCCCGUGCAGAGACCCAGCCCGGGACCGACAGGAUGACCUCAGAGCUCGAACCUGAGCCCCACGAGGUGGGCUCACCCGCCGAGCUCCAACAAAAGGUCCAAGUCCAAGUCAAGUCUCACGUCCCUGAGAUCCAAGUCAAGUCUCACGUCCCUGAGAUCCAAGUCAAGUCUCACGUCCAGCCGCCAGCCCCUGAGCUCCAGGUCCAGCCGCCAGCCCCUGAGCUCCAGGUCCAGCCACCAGCCCCUGAGCUCCAGGUCCAGCCUCCAGUCCCUGAGCUCCAGGUCCAGCCUCCAGUCCCUGAGCUCCAAGCCAGCUUCCAGUCCCUGAGCUCCAAGCCAAGCCUCCAGUCCCUGAGCUCCAAGCCAAGCCUCCAGUGACUGAGCUCCAAGCCAAGCCUCCAGUCCCUGAGCUCCAAGCCAAGCCUCCAGUCCCUCAGAUCCAAGUCAAGCCUCCAGUCCCUGAGAUCCAAGUCAAGCCUCAAGUCAGGAAGGUCCAAGUCAAGCCUCAAGCCCCUGAGAUCCAAGUCAAGCCUCAAGCCCC